ACCAGGAUGGCUGAGUGGUUAAGGUGUUGCACUCAAGAUGCAAUGGAAAGUGGUCCUUGUGGGUUCAAAUCACACUCCUGGUA
rnacentral:tRNA from 1 species